CAGUCGCCGCGGUAAUACGGAGGGUGCAAGCGUUAAUCGGAAUUACUGGGCGUAAAGCGCACGCAGGCGGUUUGUUAAGUCAGAUGUGAAAUCCCCGAGCUUAACUUGGGAACUGCAUUUGAAACUGGCAAGCUAGAGUCUUGUAGAGGGGGGUAGAAUUCCAGGUGUAGCGGUGAAAUGCGUAGAGACCUGGAGGAAUACCGGUGGCGAAGGCGGCCCCCUGGACAAAGACUGACGCUCAGGUGCGAAAGCGUGGGGAGCAAACAGGAUUAGAUACCCCUGUAGUCCCUGUCUCUUAUAC
rnacentral:rRNA from 1 species